CGAGUACUCCCUCUGUCCCAAAAUUAUUGUCUUAGAUUUGUCUAAAUACGGAUGUAUCAAGUCACGUUUUAGUAUUAGAUACAUCUGUAUCAAGACAAAUCUAAAAUAAGAAUUUUGAGACGGAGGGAGUAGUAC
rnacentral:pre_miRNA from 1 species